CCUACGGGUGGCAGCAGUGAGGAAUAUUGGUCAAUGGACGAGAGUCUGAACCAGCCAAGUAGCGUGAAGGAUGACUGCCCUAUGGGUUGUAAACUUCUUUUAUAUGGGAAUAAAAUGUUCCACGUGUGGGAUUUUGUAUGUACCAUAUGAAUAAGGAUCGGCUAACUCCGUGCCAGCAGCCGCGGUAAUACGGGGGAUCCGAGCGUUAUCCGGAUUUAUUGGGUUUAAAGGGAGCGUAGGUGGAUUGUUAAGUCAGUUGUGAAAGUUUGCGGCUCAACCGUAAAAUUGCAGUUGAAACUGGCAGUCUUGAGUACAGUAGAGGUGGGCGGAAUUCGUGGUGUAGCGGUGAAAUGCUUAGAUAUCACGAAGAACUCCGAUUGCGAAGGCAGUUCACUGGACUGCAACUGACACUGAGGCUCGAAAGUGUGGGUAUCAAACAGGAUUAGAUACCCUAGUAGUC
rnacentral:rRNA from 1 species